rnacentral:rRNA from 1 species
UCUGGCUCAGGACGAACGCUGGCGGCGUGCUUAACACAUGCAAGUCGAACGGAAAGGCCCCUUCGGGGGUACUCGAGUGGCGAACGGGUGAGUAACACGUGGGCAAUCUGCCCUGCACUUCGGGAUAAGCCUGGGAAACUGGGUCUAAUACCGGAUAGGACCUUUAGGCGCAUGUCUUUAGGUGGAAAGCUUUUGCGGGUGGGAUGGGC